CAUUAAGUAAGUGCUUCUCAUCCCGGUUAUCCCCUGCGCUGCCGUGCUUCACCUCAACCCUGUACUGCCACAUGCAAGAUGGGCGAUUGAAUAUUUAGCCUCCUCCUGGAGUCACCUCCCGUCGAGGAGCUUUGUUUCUCGUCGCAGACAUACGGAGACACUCUUCUGAUUGACUCUCUCAGUGUCAGAGAGUGAAGCCUGCUGAUUACAAUGGGCAGCAUGGAUGGGCACGGAAUACCUGGUGUUCAAAUAUCAGAAGGACAAGGAAGAGGAGGUGGCAAAUAAUGGGGAGGUGUCUUCUGCCUACAAACCCAUUCUUCCAGACAAGCUUCCUACAUGCUAUCAGCCCUUGGGCUUGUCUGUAAACUGCGUCUCAGAACCAGACUGAACUCUUCACAGAC